rnacentral:rRNA from 1 species
UACGGAGGGUGCGAGCGUUAUUCGGAUUCACUGGGCGUAAAGCGCACGUAGGCGGUUUGGUAAGUCUGAUGUGAAAGCCCUCGGCUCAAUCGAGGAAGUGCAUUGGAUACUGCCGAACUAGAGUACAGGAGAGGAAGAUGGAAUUCCCGGUGUAGAGGUGAAAUUCGUAGAUAUCGGGAGGAACAACAGAGGCGAAGGCGAUCUUCUGGACUGUAACUGACGCUGAGGUGCGAAAGCAUGGGUAGCAAACAGG